rnacentral:lncRNA from 1 species
GGCAUUGAUCUUUUUAUGUACUGAUUCACGAGGACUUAAGCCUAUGAUGCAGUUGUUUUCCCAGUCUUGGGAGCUGGCAGAUGCCAUUACCCAGGUCAGGAGAUAGAACCUUGCCAGCUAUACCCUGAAGCUGUUCAAGUCUUUCUCCCAAUUACAGUCUUCAUAAGAUCAUGAGGAGAGAAAAGCCAGCUAUGUGACGACGAACGGAAUAUCCAAUCGGAAUAGCUACUGGGAAGCAGCUCAUGCCACCAGAGGAGGAGUGGCCAGGGUUGUUAGAAGGACUGAAUGAGAUGAAGUAGAGGAAAGUCUUCUAGGACAGGGGUCCUCAACCCUUGGGCCACAGACUGGUGGCAGGAGGGCUGCACAGCAGAUGGGAUGCCUGGUUGCAAGAAAACAAGCUCAGGGCUCCCACAGAUUCUACGUGAUGCAGUUUUCACAGAUUUGUGGCCAGAUGCUAGAGACAAAGGCUGAGAAGUUGUCCAGGACGUCAUAUUCUUGCUUUGCUGGAGGCAGAUCUGAAGGAUGUCAUCUCUCCUGUGGCUUCUUCUAGUGUGGGGUCCCGAAGCCUGGCUUCCCCAGCCGAUGUGCUGCUUUAGUCAGCGUCUGCCCUGGUCCUUCGGUUCGCAGGCUCACACGCUUUUUUGGGUUGUGUCCCUUUGGACUGCAGAGGCUACGUGUCCUGUGACCAACCACGAAGGCGGCCACUCCCGCUCCCCUCAGGAGUGUCUUAAAAUACCUCCAUUUUAGCUACCCUAUUGAAUGACAGGUUAGCUGGGUGCUGGGUUUUCAGGUGAUGGACAUUUUCCCUCAGUCCUCUGAAGGUGUUGCUGGCUUCAGGCAUUGAUGCCGCCACUCUGAUUGUUGUAUGCAGUGAGCAAACUAGAAUUUUCUCUUGGCUUUCUAGAUUUUCUUCUUUAUAUUCUGAAACUUUAUU